rnacentral:rRNA from 1 species
GAUGAACGCUGGCGGCGUGCCUAAUACAUGCCAGUCGAGCGAACAGACGAGGAGCUUGCUCCUCUGACGUUAGCGGCGGACGGGUGAGUAACACGUGGAUAACCUACCUAUAAGACUGGGAUAACUUCGGGAAACCGGGGCUAAUACCGGAUAAUAUAUUGAACCGCAUGGUUCAAUAGUGAAAGACGGUUUUGCUGUCACUUAUAGAUGGAUCCGCGCCGCAUUAGCUAGUUGGUAAGGUAACGGCUUACCAAGGCAACGAUGCGUAGCCGACCUGAGAGGGUGAUCGACCACACUGGAACUGAGACACGGUCCAGACUCCUACGGGAGGCAGCAGUAGGGAAUCUUCCGCAAUGGGCGAAAGCCUGACGGAGCAACGCCGCGUGAGUGAUGAAGGUCUUCGGAUCGUAAAACUCUGUUAUUAGGGAAGAACAAAUGUGUAAGUAACUAUGCACGUCUUGACGGUACCUAAUCAGAAAGCCACGGCUAACUACGUG